rnacentral:rRNA from 1 species
ACACGAAGCUGGAAUCGCUAGUAAUCGUGAAUCAGAAUGUCACGGUGAAUACGUUCCCGGGUCUUGUACACACCGCCCGUCACACCAUGGGAGUCGGAAAUGCCCGAAGUCGGUGACCCAACCGUUUACGGAGGGAGCUGCCGAAGGCAGGUCUGGUGACUGGGGUGAAGUCGUAACAAGGUACC